rnacentral:rRNA from 1 species
CCUACGGGAGGCAGCAGUGAGGAAUAUUGGUCAAUGGGCGCGAGCCUGAACCAGCCAAGUAGCGUGAAGGAUGACUGCCCUACGGGUUGUAAACUUCUUUUAUAAAGGAAUAAAGUGAGGCACGUGUGCAUUUUUGUAUGUACUUUAUGAAUAAGGAUCGGCUAACUCCGUGCCAGCAGCCGCGGUAAUACGGAGGAUCCGAGCGUUACCCGGAUUUAUUGGGUUUAAAGGGAGCGUAGGUGGGUUGUUAAGUCAGUUGUGAAAGUUUGGGGCUCAACCGUAAAAUUGCAUUUGAUACUGGCAGCCUUGAGUACAGUUGAGGUAGGCGGAAUUCGUGGUGUAGCGGUGAAAUGCUUAGAUAUCACGAAGAACUCCGAUUGCGAAGGCAGUUUACUAAACUUCCACUGACAUUGAUGCUCGAAAGUGUGGGUAUCAAACAGGAUUAGAUACCCCGGUAGUC